GCAUAUCAAUAAGCGGAGGAAAAGAAACCAACAGGGAUUGCCCCAGUAACGGCGAGUGAAGCGGCAACAGCUCAGAUUUGGAAUCUGGCCCCCAGGGCCCGAGUUGUAAUCUGGAGAGGAUGCUUCUGGCGCGGCGCCUUCCGAGUUCCCUGGAACGGGACGCCGGAGAGGGUGAGAGCCCCGUACGGUCGGACGCCUAGCCUGUGUGAAGCUCCUUCGACGAGUCGAGUAGUUUGGGAAUGCUGCUCAAAAUGGGAGGUAAAUUUCUUCUAAAGCUAAAUACCGGCCAGAGACCGAUAGCGCACAAGUAGAGUGAUCGAAAGAUGAAAAGCACUUUGAAAAGAGGGUCAAACAGUACGUGAAAUUGUUGAAAGGGAAGCGCCCGUGGCCAGACUUGUGCCCGGCGGACCACCCGGCGCCCCAGCGCCGGUGCACUCCGUCGGGCGCAGGCCAGCAUCGGUUUUCCCAGCGGGAUAAAGGCGGCGGGAACGUGGCUCCUCCGGGAGCGUUAUAGCCCGCCGUGCCAUGCCUCUGGGGGGACCGAGGACCGCGCAUCUGCAAGGAUGCUGGCGUAAUGGCCACCGGCGACCCGUCUUGAAACACGGACC
rnacentral:rRNA from 1 species